rnacentral:lncRNA from 1 species
CUACAGGGCAAAGCACUUCAGAAGGUCUCACAGGACAAGGAGACAUUGGUUGGACAGCUGCAGAGUGUGACCCGACCCCUCAGCAAACACAGCAGCCGGGACAAGACACCAGCAGAGGGACAGCCCGAGACGCACAGUGGUGUGUGAUUCUUCUUCUCGCUGUGUAGAAAUACCUGACAAGGGCAACUUAAGCCCAGAAGUAGGCAUGGUGGUGUGUUUUUAAUCAGAUGCUCCGGAAUCAAAGCCAAACCGCUCUGGGAACAUCUUCACAGACAUGCCCAGAGGUUUCUCUUCAAGGCGGCUCUAAAUCCUGGCAAGUUGGUUUUGCUGACAUCACAAGGAUCUGGAAGAGAUGAGUCACAUCCCAGAGGCCCCGGGCCCAGCCAUCCUCUGGUUCUGUACAGUUGCCUAUGUCACCCGGCCUGUUCUCAUGCUGAAACGCACGUCUGGAUAUGUAAGUGCUCAGACAUGCACUGCCUCUGGAACGUGUUUGCUUUCAGGGAAGGGACCCAGGUGGUAACAGGACAACGUCCACAUCCACUUACUUUCUGCCCUUUGGAGAGUUUAUUCCAUACAGUGUGAUGUAACUACCAUCACGCACGUGCUAUUUGAAAAGUCAUUUGGGAGUGCCCACUACGUAUGCUGAUUCCUGGGACCAUAGGUCUACAUUGUGGGUUUCCAAAGACUGUGGCCUACGAGCCAAGGUCUGGUGUGCUGAGGUGAGGCGUUUGAGCACUGUGGUGGUUUGAAUAAGAAUGCCCCCCCCCCCAAUAGACUCAUGUGUUUGUGUGCUUGGCCGGAAGGAAGUGGCUCUAUAAGGAGAUGUGACUUGGUUGGAGUGGGCGUGGCCUCAUUGGAGGAAGUGUGUCACUGUGGAGACCGGCUUUGAAGUCUCAUAUGCUCAAGCUACGCCCAAUGGGAGACACAGUCUCCUUCUGCUGCCUUCAGGUCAAAAUGUAGAACUUCCAGUUCCUUCUCCAGCGCCAUGUCUGACUCCAUGCUACCAAGUUUCCCACCAUGGCGAUAACAGACUAAACCUCUGGAACCGCAAGGUGGCCCCAACUAAAUUUUUCCUUUAUAACAUUGCUGUGGUCUUGGUUUCUCUUCACAGCAAUAGAAACCCUAAAGAGACAUGUGCUUGAACACUCUAGGGAACCACUGAAAGGAGCCUCCUGGCCCUGACAAGGGAGCUGAGACCUGCCUGCUUUCUCUCCAUUAGCAUCGAUGAGGCCUAUCAGAAGAGAAAGUCCAGAAUAGGUCCAGAAACCGAGAGUCACCCUGUGUGAUCAGGACAACACUGGCCUAUUAAGCAAGAGACAAGCAACUAGAGGAGGGGAAGAAGAGAGCGGAGCCACCAAGUCCGGUGUGCCACAGUGUGCUCAGUCACUACCCAGAUGCUGAGUAUGAACCAGGAGUGCCCGGGGGGCAGGGAUGGGGGUGGGGGACUCUCACCAGGCUCUGCACACCUCGACUGUAGUUCUCAAAUUUGAAAGGUUUUUCACCAUUAUCUCUUCACAUUUUUUUGUCCCCUCCAUCUGGAACCCCACACCCACAAAAAAAACAUCCUCUUGAAGCCACCUCCUGGCUCACCGAUGCUCUGCCCAUAGUUUUACAGCCUGCUUCUGUGUUUUGUUUUUGAUGAGUUUGUUACUGUGUUGUUACAUUCAGUGUCUUUCCUCUUUGGUUGUCUAACCCAUCCUCAAGACCAUCUAGUACGAUUUCCCAAACACUGCAGGUUUUUAUCUCAGGUUACCACACUUAGGACUGAACGUAGGGCCUUCCAAAAGCCCAAGCAAGCCCAUACCACUGAACUACGUCUUCAGCCCUCUUCGUUUGCUUUUGAGAUGUGGGCUCCCUAAGUCGCCCAACCUAGAACUCAUUCUGUAGCUGCUGAAAAUACAUGCUCACACCAGCAGCUCCGUCCCACAGAUCUUUACUUUUAUUUAUUUUAUGUGUCUGGGUAUUUUGCCUGCAUGUAUGUUUGCUUGUUUGCACCCCACAUGUAUGCCUGGUGCCUGAGGAGACCAAAAAAGGACAUCAGACUCCUUGGAACUGGAGUUGCAGAUGGUUGUGAGGUGCCAUGUAGAUUCUGGGGAGUCCUCUGCAGGAGCAGAAGGUGACCUUAACCACGGAGCCAUCUCUCCAGUCCAGCCCCCACGCCCAAUUUGUCCCUAAUAUGUUUGCUUCCCUCUACUUUAUGUUCACGUGGAAUAGAGUUCUAAUUGAUUGAUUUUUGUC